UUUGAUCAUGGCUCAGAUUGAACGCUGGCGGGAUGCUUUACACAUGCAAGUCGAACGGCAGCACGGACUUCGGUCUGGUGGCGAGUGGCAAGGAACAGGUGAGAGUAAUGUAUCGGAACGUGCCUGAUAGCGGGGAUAACUACGCGAAAGCGUAGCUAAUACUGCAUACGCCCUUCGGGGGAAAGCGGGGAGCCUUCGGGCCUCGCACUAUUAGAGCGGCCGAUAUCCGGAUUAGCUAGUUGGUGGGGUAACGGCUCACCAACUAGCUAAUCGGCGCCAAUGGUGCAGAUCGCUACGGUCCCUGCAGCCGUAAGGCGUAUGCGGUAGCUACGCUUUCGCGUAGUUAUCCCCCGCUACGGCGUUCCGAUACAUUCUCACCGCCACUCGCCGGGUGCGCUCGCCGCCGUUCGACAUGUAAAAGGUGGGCAUUCAAUCGAACU
rnacentral:misc_RNA from 1 species